ACUCGAUUUCGGCUAGUCUUUUCUCAUCUGCCACUCAUCCUACUUCAAGAGAUUCAAAGGUUUCAUCCAAAAAGAAAGUUGGGAUUUUCUUUAAUUAAGGGUGCUUACGUUUCACGAUAUAGGUUCAGACAUUCAGGAUGACAAGCUUUCACGUUAGGCUAUAUCUCACACAUCCAUAUGCUAUUAGUGAGCCCCACUUACUACUUGGCCAUUGUCUAGUCAUUUUGUAAUGUAUAUAAAUAUUUUGGAUAUGCCGAGGACCUGUCCCGACACUUUUACCAUUCUUACACUAUCCUAGAGGCUUCAUAGACCUGUGUUGCUCACUCUACAUAUGUAUAUAUGUUUUGGCUCACUUUCCUUUUGGGCAUGCUAAGACUCAUGAUUGAAAUUACAAGAUUUCCUUUAUAUAUGAAAAAAAGUUCUCUUUAUGAAAAGUAAUGUCUCACGUCUGAUCUUCCUUGAUGUUUCCUGUUUAUGUCAUGUUCCUUGAUCAGGUGUGCUUGGUCAGGUUAAGACAUCCGGUGUCGGUUCACCCCACCAAGGUUUGGGAAAUGACAAUAUUGGUAUCAGAGCCUAGGUUCAUGUAUCCCAAGGAGUCUACGAAGCUGUGUUAAGUAGAGUCCGACUGAUGGGUGUGUUGCACGCCACACUUAUAAUUGGGAGGCACCUUAAAAUAUAGGGGAAAAAUGACCUUCUUUCAUACUCUAGAUCAUGCGGUAGCGUUGUACCUUAAGAAUUGAUCCUAACGUAAAAUAAUCACAUAUAUCUAAUUAUUGUUUAUUUUCAUUUUUCUAGGUUUAAAUUAUAUCCAAUUAUCUUGAUCCCAGCAAACAAGUCACUAUACGGCGAGUUACAUUCAUUUACAAAAAAGUUGUAUACUAUUUUUAAUUUCAUCGGUAUUAUUUUAAAAUUUUAUUUUAGCAAUAUUAAUAGUAGUUUACAAAAUCUUGUACUACAUAACUCGACAUACGUGU